CGGGGAGUGGCGCAGCCUGGCAGCGCAUCUGGUUUGGGACCAGAGGGUCGCAGGUUCAAAUCCUGCCUUCCCGACCA
rnacentral:tRNA from 1 species